AGGUGGAAUUCCCGGUGUAGUGGUGAAAUGCGUAGAUAUCGGGAGGAACACCAGUGGCGAAGGCGGCCUCCUGGGUCGCACCUGACGCUCAGACGCGAAAGCUAGGGGAGCAAACGGGAUUAGAUACCCCGGUAGUCCUAGCUGUAAACGAUGUGGACUUGGCGUUGGUGGGGUCAAAUCCAUCAGUGCCGGAGCUAACGCGAUAAGUCCACCGCCUGGGGACUACGGUCGCAAGGCUAAAACUCAAAGGAAUUGGCGGGGGCCCGCACAAGCAGCGGAGCGUGUGGUUUAAUUCGAUUCUACACGAAGAACCUUACCCGGGUUUGACAUCCAGGUGGUAGGGAACCGAAAGGCGACCGACCCUUCGGGGAGCCUGGACAGGUGCUGCAUGGCUGUCGUCAGCUCGUGUCGUGAGAUGUCCGGUUAAGUCCGGUAACGAGCGCAACCCUUGCUGUAUGCUAUACGUGUCAUACAGGACUGCCGGUUUAGUGCCGGAGGAAGGCGGGGAUGACGUCAAGUCAGCAUGGCCUUUAUAUCCGGGGCUACACACACGCUACAAUGGCCAGCACAACAGGUUGCAAAACCGCGAGGUGGAGCCAAUCCCCAAAGCUGGUCUCAGUUCAGAUUGCAGGCUGCAACUCGCCUGCAUGAAGUCGGAGUUGCUAGUAACCGCGCGUCAGCUAUAGUGCGGUGAAUACGUUCUCGGGCCUUGCACACACCGCCCGUCACGUCAUGGAAGCUGGCAACACCUGAAGCCGGUAUCCUAACCGCAAGGAUGGAGCCGUCGAAGGUGGGGCUGGUGACUGGGACGAAGUCGUAACAAGGUAACC
rnacentral:rRNA from 1 species